rnacentral:rRNA from 1 species
UACGUAGGGCGCAAGCGUUGUCCGGAAUUAUUGGGCGUAAAGAGCGUGUAGGCGGCCAGAUAAGUCCGCUGUGAAAUCUCGAGGCUCAACUUCGAGCUGUCGGUGGAAACUAUCUGGCUAGAGUCCGGAAGAGGAGAAUGGAAUUCCUGGUGUAGCGGUGAAAUGCGCAGAUAUCAGGAGGAACACCGGUGGCGAAGGCGGGUCUCUGGGCAGUAACUGACGCUGAGGAGCGAAAGCGUGGGGAGCGAACAGG